UUCAAAUCUCAAACGCAGCACUCCUCGGACCCGCUCUCACACACAGAGAAAGAGAGAGAGAGAGAGAGAAGAAGAAGAAGAAGACACUUUCAGAAGCGGAUCUAGCAUCCAAAAUGUCAGGGCGUGAGAAAGAGAAGGGCGUCAACGUUCAGGUCCUCCUCCGUUGCAGGCCGUUUAGCGACGAAGAGUUACGAAGCAACGCACCGCAAGUCGUGACUUGCAAUGAGUACAAUAGAGAAGUCGCCGUGUCGCAGAGCAUCGCCGGCAAGCACAUCGACAGGGUUUUCACCUUCGAUAAGGUUUUUGGUCCUUCUGCGCGGCAAAAGGAUCUUUACGA